CUCCUCCACUCCAGAUGCAGGAAGCGACUCGUGUAGAGCUCCAGCAGGAGGCUGUUGAACUCUCCGUCCCUGUCCGCCGGCACCAGGAACUGGUACACCUUCCCGGGGCAAUUCCCCACACAGCUCAGGAGAACCGAAGGUUCAGCGGGCGUCCUCCAAUCCCACGACCAAGCCAGCUUCCUCUUCUAUGCCCAGGAACUCCAGAGCGGAGGUCAGCGGAGGUCAGCGAAGCUAACGGCCUCUGGAGGACAAAGGGCAGCCCUGCAGGUGUCUGCUCCGAGCUCAGCAGGGUCCGCUGUAGUACGAGGAGAAGAAACAGUCCCUAAUGGUUUUGCCUUCCUCUGAAAUCCCCAGCAAAGACUGGCGACUUCACACAGGCCGGUCGUGAACCUGCGCUCCCCUGACUGUAUGACUCCCCCUGCAUACCACACGGCCAUGCCUUUACGAGCGGAGACACGUAGGGGUAGAUGCAUUAUUAAAAGUACUGGUAAUCCCAAAAAGGAUACUGCCCCGAUCCUACACAAACACCCCUGGCACAAGAACCACAGCUAGUGACCUGCUUCUAAUAAACCUUAAAAACAAGAGAAAAAGCAGAGACAGCAGCAGGCCAAUCCGGGAUAUAUUUCUCCACAUUUUGUUUCAUUUAAAACAAUGAAUUCCCUGUGUUUAAGAUGCAGGCACUGGGUCUGUGUGCUACAGGUGGUCUGAAAUCCAAAGAGCACAUUUUGGUCUUAAAUUUCAUUUAAAACACAGAAAACACACACCCAGUCGGCUCCUGUCAUUUUAUUUAGAUUCAAUGACUUACUGAGUUCUGUUCAAUUGAUUUAAAAACAGUGGCAGAUCUCAAUACCAACCACCAAUAAAAAAAAACAUUACAAUAUCUUGUUCAUGAAAGUUUUUACAUAUUAUUACAA